CACCUCUCUCUCUCUAAACACGUGAUUUCUUCCUUUUCUCUUGGAGAAAAAUUGCAGCCUCCUUUCACCAUUGGAAAAGUUUGCUUCCCCAUUCUUGUGUCAUGGCUGUGACAACCACGUGAAGGUGAAUAGAUCCAUUCCAACAUUUGUAUUUCAAAAAUGUUCAAAAACUGAAUGACAAAAUUCCCGCCCAAUGGAGAGAAACCUUGUUUUCCUCUUUAAAAAUUUACGUUUGGAGUUCACUCAGGAGGAUUUUCUUUGCAGCCGCUGCUCCCAUAACUCUUGAAAUCAUUAUUUUUUUUCCUUGCUAAAAAAGAGUAGAAUACAAAACAAAACCUUUUGUCUGAAAUGUCCAUCCCUCUAUUCUGUCUGUAUGUUUUGUUGCACGAUUCGGGUUUGAAGUCGUAGAGUUUGUGUGUGGUUUUGCGAUCUUGAGGCUCACAUUCCAAAUGAUAGGCAACAAAGUUCUUAUUUCACAAAUAUUUACACUUUUUCAUUUCUGUUGGAAGUUCUGGUUUGUUUCGAUUUGGUCCGAGUUACAGGAUCGUCAAGUUCGAGCGUGGGUUUCGUGAUCUAAAGUUCCCCGUUCACUGCCCCGAAAUUGGUAAAUCCACCUUCCUUCUAUGCUUAAUUUAGAGAAUCAUAUGUUAUGAACAGUUUGCUUGACUUGUUACUGGGACCUUUUUUGUGUUUGUUGUAUGCUAACUGUGAUAUAUAUAAAUAUUCAAAUGUGGUUUAUUUUGAAAAUCAUGAACCUUGAGUUUUAUCCUCCAACUUGUUUUCACAAAAAUAAUUAUUUAGGAGUUUAACUAGGCACGCUCAACUUGAUUUUAUUUGUCUGUUUAGUGUCGAAGUUAGCCCUCAUGAAUUAAAAAAAUGAUCUUUAUUUCUGGACCGAAUACCCACACGAAAUCAGUUUUAUUUUUAGUUAAUUAAUGUCCAUUGUGUAUCAUUGUAUGAUGAGAUAUUUUGCACAGCAAGGAUAUCCAUAGAGAAACAGGCUAGAGAUUUCUGUUAUUUUGUUUGGUUUUAAAAUAUGUCUUGCAAACUACUACGCUCUCUAAUAAAAUAUGAAAGUUUUGGUCACUCUUUAUCAUCUCUGUACCCAUCGAUGCGAAUUUUAAGCUUCUUUGUUAAUCUAUUUGUUGUGUGCAUUAGAUUUUUCUUUUCCGGGUUUUAAAUAUUAGUUGUAUGAAAUCCCUGAGGGAACUUGUUACUAAUUUCGCCCACACUUUGUAGAAGUGUUUACACACAUAUAUAUAUAUAUAAUUUAAGGUGUUUGCGACAACCUACGUUUAGAAACAAUGGUUACAAAGAAGUGUGGAGCAUAUUUGUUUUCUUGUAGUUUCUUCUAAGUUUCGAGUAGCAUUUUAGAUGUUCAUUUAAAAAAAAACUAGAAUUGAUUGUAGUUUAGAUCACUGGCAUCCCUUGGUAUAUUUUUGAAAGAAUAACCUUAUGUUUCGGUUACAUGAAAAUGUGUAGUUUCUCGUUACUUUGCAAAAGAAGAUAACUUUGUUUAUUGUCUCGUGUAAUCCCUUUCUAUAUAUCUUGAAUCUAUCCAUUUUUUUCUAAUGAUAUCUUCUUCUUCCUUUUACAUGGACACCGGAGUCGAAGAGUCUCAACUUUGAGACUCGACACCCCCACGAGACUUGAAACAUGCAUCUACAUCCACUCAUAUCUAUCACUUCUUUGAGACUCCGUCCGAGAGGUACAAAAUGCAAAUGGGAUGAGCUAAUACAGUGCAAAGAAAGCUCUCUUUGGUUGUUUUGUUUUGGGGCUAAUGAAUUAAUUUAUUGCUCUAUUUAUCUAUUUUUGUGUCUCCAUUGCUAAUUGCUCUCCUUAUUGAUUAUUUACUGAUUGAAUUGGUGGUUAAAUCUGACUAACCUCGCAUGUCUUGGGCUUGUAAUAUAAUUCAGUAGUUUCUCCGUAGAUAAGCUAAAAGAGAAUUUGAAUUUAAUUUAAGAAUGAAUCACUAGCACCUCUAUAUCUAAUUCGUGGGAUCUGUUGAAUUAAUUUGGUGGGUCAUUAUAUCACCUAUAAGAUUUGGAUAAAGGAAUACUUUUUGACAUAUUUUAUUUAAGAAAUCUAAUACAUUUUCCUUGGUACUUUUAAAUAUAUAAAAAAUAAUAAUCCCCUUCAGUUCAAAUACUAUCUAGGAAUCCAACUUACUGUGUUCCACCUUUCAACACUUAAUUGUAUCAUUUUUAUCUAUUUUCUCUAAUCAAUUCAUUCGCUACUUUGAAUUUUUUCUUUUAAAAGGCCUGAUAUACUUCUUUAGUUUUUCGCCUAUUUUAGUAUAAUUAAUUAAUCUAAGUUUGGUCGUUUAAUCGUAGUUGGCGAAUCCUUUAGGGUGCCUAAUCUCUUUCCUUUAGGAUAAUUAGAACCCUUACUUAGAAUCGCUAGUUAAGUAGACUUUAAAAUGAAGUCCUUUAAUUUUAAUUAUUUAGCAUAUAAUAGGUGUCCUAAUUCACCAUAGAACUAAUUAGGUGGUGACUUCCUUUUAUUAACUUAGAAUUUUUCUAAUAUGUUGUACACUAUUUUGACCUCGUGUUAAAAUGGGGUAUAACACUCACGAUCAUACAACUUAAAGCUUUGCUCAGCCUUCUUUCUAGACUCAUAGUCCCUCUUUAAAUGCCUAUUCUACCAAAUGGGUACACAACAGAUUAUCAGAUACAAAGACAUACUUGCUCUGGGAAUUAUAAGGGGGUUGAUAUCUUUUCUAUCUGGACCUUGAACUCCAUUUAAUUUUUAAUUUGUUAGGGUGGAUAAUAGUCUGGACGAGGCAGUCCAUUUAAGAGAUUUACGAAGGUCUUUUUUGACUCAGAUCAGGUCCCUUUCUAGCUGGGAGUUUCUACUUAGGGAGGUUUCAAGAAGUUUUUGUUAAUUUUCUAACCUCUCUUUUAAGUUCUAACUAAAGACUACUAGCUUCCUCUUUUUCUUUAGAUUGAUAUACAAAUAAACUCAACAUCUUUUCUUUUAGGACAUCAUUUUCUUUUGACAAAAUAACUAAUUUUUGUCCCAACUUAGACACUUUGACAGCAAAAGAUAUUUUUUCAUUUUUAGACACUUCAAGGGUUUUACCCCAGAGAUCCUCCUCAUUAGUGAGAAAACCAAAGAGUCUAUAAAGGCACUUGUUAUAACCUUGAGCCUUUUUAAAGAGUAAUUAUUGAUAUUUUGUUUGAUGUCAAGAAGAGUUACCUUUUUAUCAUCUUCAUCAGCAGAUUUGGCCAUGGAUGCAAAAAGUGAAUCAAAGGUAUCAUCUGAAUCUUCAAUCACCAUUAUUGAAAUGUCUUCAGGAUGAUCAUCAGAGCCACUAGAUGAGUCUCUCUAUGCUUCUAGGUCUUGUUUCACAACAUAGUCAGCAACUGCUCUCUUUCUGAUUAUGUUUGAAACUCGAUCCUUCUACUUUUCUUUAUCUGGUACACCUUUUCCAUAGUGCUUGUGUUCUUCCUUGUGCAUUGGGAAAUACCUGAUAAUACUUAUGACACAAAUCAUUCCUAUAGAUGAUCUACUAGAGUUACCUCUUCAUUUAAAUCAUCUAUUUUUCCUCAUAAGCUUGUAAAAUCUCUUGGUUUUGUAUGCUACAUCUUCACCCUUUUUCAUAUUCUUCGCUUUUGGCUAAUUCUAAAGCCAAUAUCUUCUCUUUCUUUGAUUUUUUCUUAUCCUGCUCCUUCUACUUCUUUAUUUUAUAGGUUUAUAAGUUUCCUAUGAGCUCAUCCAUCGUGAAAGUUUUCAAGGCCCUUACUACAAUAAUAGCAUUGACCUUAAUUUCCUAUGACUUGGUAAGAACACUAAGCACUUUUCUUACUUACUUAAUAUCCUGAUGUCCUCACCUAGACUGGUGCAACUCAUUUGUGAUGGAUAUAAAUCUUGUAUGUAUUUCUUGAAUAGUUUCUCCCUCUUUUAUGGUAAAGGUUUCACAUUGUAUGGUAUGCAUGUCAACCGUCAACUCCGUUUCUUGAACCUUCAUGUGAAGUUUUCAAAUAGUCCCAAAUCUCUUUAGCAGAUUCACAGGCAGUGAUCAUGUUAUACUCAUCAGGUCUUAUACCACACACUAGCAGUUUUUUUGCCUUGUAGUUUUUUUCAAUCUUCUUAUGAUCAACCUCAUUAAAUUCUCUUUGAGUUUCAGGGAAUAUUCUUGUGGCCUCCUCUUCUUUUACUUCUCUUAUGGAAAUAUGUGGACUAUCUAGGAUUAUUCCAUUAGUUCACUGUCUUUCACCAUUAUAAAGUCAUACAUUCUUAUUUUCCACCAACCAUAGUAUUGGCCAUUAAAUUUUAGGGUCUAGUGGUGGACUAACCUUCUUCCAGGUUUGGUGGAGCCUCUAUUGAGCUGGAUAUUCUCUACAUAUUAGUCUUUUAGAGAGAUCUAGCUCUAAUACCAAUUGAUGGAGUGUACGAGUCCACCGAGCAUAACAGGACCUGGUCCCUAGACUAUGAAUACAGUGAAAAUAACCGAGGAAGAGGUAGUGUAAUAAAACAAAGAACACAAAAGUUUACAUGAAAACUUCUUUGCUCAAGGGAAGUAAAAAACAUGACUUACCAUUAAGAUUUCAAAACUUUACUCUUCUUCAAGCCACCAAGUGAUUACAAACUCCUGUAAUCACUAAAUCUUAUAAUAACUCUAUCACAACACAAGUAUGAUAACUCUAACACACUUACAACUAACUUUAGUCACACAUCCUAGGCAGCUAUACCCAGGACACAACACGAGAAUAAGAUAAACAAAUACUUGACCAACUUACAAAUGACUCAAACAACCAACUCUAGUUACUUUGACUCGAACUAAGACUUAGAAAAGCUACACAUCUACUAUCCUUGAUAAUCAGGAGUGGAUUUACAAUAUAAGAUCAAAAUAACCAAUAAUACAACACCCAGACUUAAGGUGAGCAAGCAAUCAGAUCCCUUGAAUGAGUUGUGUUCAUGAGUGGCUUUUGCUUCUUGAAAGUUCAAUCUUGAUGUUUGCAAAAACUAGCUUUUGUUGUGUGUAAAUGAUCCUUAUAUAUGAGACCACAAAACCUAGGUGAAUCGCUAUUGGUUGAGGUUCAGCUUCUCUAUUGUCGCACCACCAACUUUUUAUAGAAAAGUACAACCUCUAAAUGUAGUCAAGCAAGACAAUGUCAAGGAGCAUUAUGAACAAGAUCAGAUAACAUGGAUAAAUAAUAGGGCGUCUAGAAGGUCCCUUGGGGAUACUUUGAAGAUCAUCAAAACUUCAAUGGUGUAACUUAAGAAAAAAGCAGUUUGAGUAUUUUCAACUAGUUUAUUCAUAACUAUCAUGAGCCUCUUGGUAAGGAUCAUAGACAUAAUCUUGUAUAGGAUAGUACAACAAGAGAAAUUUCUAAAAUCUUUAACUGUGAUAGGGUUCUUAACGUUAGGAAUAAGGAUAACAGUGGUACAUUUCACAUUAUUAGGCAUAAAUAGAGUAUUAAAAAUAUCAAUUAAGUUAUCAAUUACUUCAUAACCUAUAACAGGCCACGAUUUUUUAAGAAAUAUGCAUUAAAUCCAUUAUGAUCUGGAGCCUUUAGAUCAUUAAUAUCCUUGACAACAUUAUAAACUUACUCAACAGUCACCUCUUGGAUAAGUUGCAAGUGAUCAUUUUUGGUUAAUAUACAUCAAACCUUCAUAACAGUAGGUUUUAUAACCGGCAAGGUGGUUGCUCUAGUUACUAAUAAAAUAUAAUAAAAAUGGCAGACUUCAUAUAUUAUAGCUUGUUCUGUAUAAAUCACUCUACCACUAUUAGUAACUAGAGUGUCAAUCUUAUUUUGAGCAUUCAUGCUUCCUAAUUUACAAGAAAAUAGAAGUGUUAGAAUCUCCAAGCCUUAACCAUUGUAAUCUUUCUUUUUGUCUAGAUACACCCUCCUUAUUCUUAAUCUAUUUCUCAUACUUACUUCUAAGUAACUUUUCCUCUUCUACAAGCUUUGAGAGAUGGCCAUCAAUAAUUACUUUUUGCAUCCUCAAAAGUUGAUCUCUAGCUACUUCUAUUUUUUAUCUAAGCUUGAGAAUUAUUUGUGUCUCAAUUGUUUCAUCCCUGCUUUCACAGAUAAUAUUUUUCUCCAAAUUAAUUUAAAAUUAGCUCUCCCACUAGUUAUUUUUCCAAUACCUAGGUACAACAUUUAAAAAAUUAGCAUGAUCAGUCAUGUAGUUAAAGAACCUAAACUUCUUAUAAGUGUUAAUUCUUUGGGUUUCAUUACACAGUUUGAGAGGUGAAUGAUCUAAAAGUAAAGGAUCUAUAGUUUUUACACUAGUGGUAUUUAUCUUCAUCAUCCAUUUAUCAUUUACUAAUGCUCUAAACACAUACCUAAAACACCCUAAGUUUUGAUCCUUAGAAAUUUCCUUGAUUUUGAACUCUCUGGACAUCAUAUGACUUAGGCUUACUAGUCGUAUGAUGUGGGUACGACCUAGGGAUCCCAAUUCAUAUGCUAAGUAGUGUAUUCUUGAUUAUGUACUACCCUAGGUAUGACUAAACUCCAUACGAGUUGCAUGGAGAUGGUAUGAGAGAGUCAUGCUAUUCAUAUGUUAGACCGUGUCAAACCUCUUUUGAAUUUAUAUUAGAUAAGAUUUAAGGGUACUUGUCGUAUAAUGAAGGUACAAAUUAGCUAAGAGGACUCGUAUGGUGGACAGUGUAUGAUGUCCAAUAUUCUAUCUAGGGUACAAGUUAUAGGUACCACUCGUAUGUUGUGCAUACGAGUUAAUGGGGGAGUUGUACCCUCCUACGAUGAUUUUUACAAAUUUAAGUUGGGGGUAUUAUGGACAUUUUUCCUCUUAAACCCUUUUGAUCCCAUGACUUAAAGCAGUUUUAGGACAUCAUUUAACUUAGUAUUCUCAAUCAAAAACACUUUAAACACUCAAAUCUCUCUCAAGGUCUUGGGUUAAGAAGAGGCUAGGGUUUGCUUCAAGGUGGUAAAUUAAGGCUCUAAGGGGAGGUUUCCAUCUGUAAUCUUUGGUAUCUAAGGCAUGUUACUUCUCCCUCAUUGUUAGUUUAACAAAAGUCAUGUUUUAAUGAGUGGUUUUCAUGAUUUAACUAUCCAUAUAGCUUAGUUUGAAUUAUAUGUUGGAGGUUUUGGUUGUAAAUGGUUGGAUAUUGUAUUCCUAUGCUUUACAUAUGGUGUUUCAUAUUAUAAUUGUUGUUUAAACACGUGGUUUCAUGAGAAUAGUCAAUUGGCACUUGGUUUUGAUUUUGGAAACUAUAUGCCCUCAACUUGUUUCUUAAAAUGCCUAAAAAUGAUUUUGUCACAUUGUUUGACUUUUAUUGAAAUUAUUGCAUUACAUAAUAUAGUAAUGGAACCUAAAUUGGUUUAAAUGGUUUUAAAUGAUUUGGUAAGGUCUUGGUGGCCAUGGUUUUGGUAAAUUAGAAAUCAUGUAGGGUACAUGGAAAUCCCCUAAAUGUUUUCUAAUUAUAUUGCUUGCAAGUUAUAGCCAGUUUGACUAUACUACUACAUAAUGCCUUGGUAAUUAACAUAUAGAAUUGGUGGUUUGGUUGUGUGCUAAUGGUUUUAAUUGGGCAAUAGUGGCGGGUUGUUAUAGCUUAUCGUGAAGGUGUGUGUCCAAAGGACGAAUAUUGGAAACUCAUAUUUGCCGACAUGUGGGUUGGUCAUGGUGACCUUAUACUUGUGAAGUACAUGGAAAUCCCUUAAGUUUAUACUUGUACAUAUGUAUCAUGGUGGGCGAAGGGUAAACGGGAAUCCUCGAUCCCUAAGAUAUCUCCUAUUCAUAUGGCUACACACAUUAGGGCCUAUUUAGGGGUAACACUAGAUCUAUAUAUCUCGUGGGUGGAUUGUGAUGGUAAAUCUACACAAACCCACGUUAAGGUUUUAAAUGCAUGAUAAAUCCAAUUCCCUUUCCCGAAAUGGAUUAUAUAUAUAAAUGUAUGGAUGUGAUUGGAUAUAGUUAUUUACUUGGUUUAAAAUAUUGUCAUUAUUUUAUCCUUACUCCUGAGUACAUGCUAGCAUUCACCUACUAACCCAUAUUCGGGAACUGUAUUCCUACGCGAUACAGGAACCGACCAUACUACUUUCACUCAAUGAUUAGAUUCGGGGACAACUUUGUGUCAAAUUGAAGUGGUGAGAUUCCAUACACCGAAAGACUUUAUUUUAUAUUAUGGACCUCUUUACAUAUAUUUUUUAUUUCUUAGACUUUAGUUUUGGGCUAUGGUUGGGGGCGUGUCCCGACCAGAUAUUGUUUUGAUUUUGGAUAGAGGUUUUGUAUGGCUACUUUGGGUUGGCAUGGGCGGUGUCGGUAUUGGUGCAAGUUUGGCAUUGGUAUUGGUAUUGAGGCUGACACCAUUUGUUUUUAUUUGAUUUAUGAUUGCUCUAUCUUGUUAUGUUAUAUAAUUGAAAUUUAUCCGACAUCAGGUGUAGGGUGGUUAUGGUUGGCACUAAGGGUGGUCUUCGCUCUCGAUUGGGCUUGAGGCACUUGGCACGACUAGACCUUGGUUAGGGUCAUGUCAGAUUGGUAUUAGAGCCCUAGGUUCAUAGUAAAUAUGGAGUCUAUAAAGGCAUGUCUAGUAGAGUCUCUUUUAGGGGUAUAUAGCACACCAUACUCAUAAGGAAGAGGCUACAAGACAUUUAGGAAUGUUUCUCUUUCUUGUGUUUUGUUUUUAAGUUGUGGAGUCUAAGUCUUGAAUUCUUCUCUAAUUACCAUAUGUACGCAUUUAAGAUCAUUCCUCGAUGAUCUAAAGUUCAUAGAAAAUCCUCUAUCCCAAUUGGGGACAAUGUUGAUGGGACACGCUCUACUCAUGGGAUCCAUACCCAAUCUAGGGGUCCAGUUCCUCAUAGUUCUGGAAUUCUACCGGUUCCCUCUAGUCUUUCUCAGAAUCCUCAGGCUGAAGUGACAAAUGCAGAGUUUCAUUAGUCCAUUCACAUGUUGGCACAGUUGGUACCGAAUCAGUCUGAGUGUGGUAUUCCUGUUACUCCAUCUUUUGAGGCCAUAAAGGUUGGCCAGUUCAUGAGGUUGAACCCUUUGACCUUUAUUGGUGUUAAGGUGGAGAAAGAUCCUCAAGGUUUUCUGGAUAAAAUAGAAAAGAUUUUUUUAGUUAUGCAUUCUAGGAAUAUGGAGGGUGUGGAGUUCGCCGCCUACCAGCCGAAGGAUGUGGUAUACCAAUGGUAUGAGAAAUGGGAAUAGUCAAGGGGUGAUGGUGCUGGGUCAUCCCUGUGGAAGGAUUUUUAUAAUGCUUUCUUAGACUGCUUCUUUCCAGGAGUUGAGGGAAGUAAAAAUGGAUUAUUUUUUUAAUCUGAAGCAAGAUAAGAUGUCAGGCAAGGACUAUGCCUUAAAGUUUCAUUAGUUAUCGCGGUAUGCUCCAGAGUUGGUUUCAAACAUUUAAGCCUAGAUAAGAAAGUUCACUUUGGGAUUGUCUCGUGAGUUAAUUCUUGAGAGUAAGGCUUCCUUGUUAAUCAAGGACAUGGAUAUCUCUAGGUUGGUAGUAUACAUGCAGCAGGUAAAGAAAGAAAAGAAGAAGCAACCUGAGUUAAGGGAGAGGCAAGGAAAGAAGCUUAGGUUUUUAGCAGAGUAUAGGUCAACAACAGAAUACCAGGGAUGAUGGUAAGUGGCCCAAGAAGAAGUGGGGAAAUUUUGGGUCUUACUCGAUGGCUACCGCCCCUACCCAAAGACAUCGAGUGAUAAGAGUUUCUAUAGUGGCGACAACUUCAGAGCACGGGUUGCCUAAUCUCAGGCUAGUGGGGCUCAGUCAGCUUCAUCAUAUCCUCCUUAUAGAUUUUGUGGUCAUUUACAUUGAGGUUUUUAUGAUGAGGGAAAGAGAAGGUGAUUCAACUAUGGUUAGACAGCGCAUAUACAUAGAAAUUAUCCUAUUGGUAAGGUUGCUUCGGGGGAAAAUAAGUUUCCUGUUACCUCUUCUUCAACUCUGGCACCAAAGGGUGCACCAUCUGGAUCCGACACUGGUCGGAACUAUUUUUAUGCUCUCACAACUCGACAAGAGUCUGAGGCAUCGCCUGAUGUCAUGACUGGUAUGUUGAAACUCUUCACUCAUAAUAUGUACUAUUUACUUGAUCCGAGGUCCACUCUAUCUUAUGUGACCUUAUUUGUGGUUGUGCAUUUUAAUUUUGGUCCCGAGAGUAUUUUAGACCCUUUUUCUAUUUUUACCCCGAUAGGUGACUCUAUGAUUGCUAAAAGAGUCUAUACGGGGUGUCUGGUAUCUAUUGGUAGUAAAGAAACUUUGGUGGAAUUUUUUGAAUUAGAUAUGGUAGAUUUCGAUGUUAUAUUAGGGAUGGAUUGGUUACACUCGUGCUAUGCACCUCUAGAUUGUCGUACCCGUAAGGUUGUCUUACAUUUCCCUAAUGAGCCGGUUAUUGAGUGGGAAGGUAGUUCCCUAGCUCCUAAAUGGAAGUUCAUAUCAUAUCUUAGAGCUUAGAGGUUAAUAUCCAGUGUCUCUAUCAUCUAGUUUGGGUUAAAGAUUCUAACUCGAAGGGUCCCUCAUUACACUACGUCCUUGUGGUAACCCUGAUGACCUUAGUGGUGCUCCUCCGGAUAGGGAGAUUGAGUUUGGGAUUGAUCUUGUUCUGGAAAUUCUUUAAAAUUCUAUUCCCAUGUAUAGAAUGGCUCCAGUUGGGUUGAAAAAGAUUAAGGAGCAAUUAAAGGAUCUCUUAGAUAAGGGUUUUAUCCAUCCUAGUGUUUCCCCAUAGGGUGCACCAGUGUUAUUCAUGCGUAAGAAGGAUUGGUCCCUUCAAAUGUAUAUUGAUUACCGAUAGUUGAAUAAGGUGACGGUAAAGAAUAAGUAUCCUUUUCCAAGAAAAAAUGAUUUGUUUGUUCAAUUUUAGGGUUUUAUAUUUUUCUCCAAAAUAGAUCUUUGAUUCGAGUAUCAUCAACUUAAGAUUAAGGAGGUGGAUAUCCCUGAGACUGCCUUCCGUACUCAGUAUGGGUAUUAUGAGUUUUUGGUUAUGUUUUUUGGGUUGACCAAUGUCUCGGGGGCAUUCAUGGAUUUGAUGAAUAGAGUCUUCCCUCAGUUUCUCGACUUAUUCGUCAUUGUAUUCAUAAACAAUAUUCUGGUGUACUCUAAGAGUAAGGUGGAUCAUGCCAAUUACCUCUAUUUUGUAUUGCAAACUCUGAAAGAGCAGUAGUUGUAUUCCAAGUUUUGUAAAUAUGAAUUCUGGUUGAUCGCUGUCAUUUUCUGGGUCAUAUUAUUUCUAAUGGACAGAUCAUAGUAGAUUCGCAGAAGGUUGCAGUGGUUAAGAAAUGGCCUAGACCCACGACUCCAACGGAUAUUCAAAGUUUCUUGGGUUUAGCUGCCUACUAUAGGAGGUUUGUGGAGAGUUUUUCUUCUAUAGCUGCCCCGUUGACUAAGUUGACUCAAAAGAAGGUAACUUUCCUGUAGUCUGACUCUUGGGAGGGUAGUUUUGAAAAGAUAAAGGAUAAGCUAACUUCGGCUCUGUUUUUGACUUUGCCUCAAGGCACUAAUGGGUUUGUGGUCUAUUGUGAUGCUUCUAGUGUUGGGCAUGGUUGUGUCCUGAUGCAACAUAGGAAGGUGAUAGCUUAUGCCUCUAGAUAGUUGAAGGUGCAUGAGAGAAAUUAUCCAACUCAUGAUUUAGAAUUAUUAGUUGUGGUGUUUGCAUUAAAAAUCUAGUGUCACUAUUUGUAUGGAGUGCAUGUGGGCAUCUUUUCUGAUCAUAUAAGCCUGCAGUAUCUGUUUACUCGGAAAGAGCUUAACCUCAGGCAAAGGAGAUCGCUUGAGCUACUCAAGGAUUAUGACAUGAGUCUUCACUACCAUCCAGGUAAAGCUAAUUGAUGUGUGAGCAUAUGCUAACACAUUUGAGGCUUUUAACUCUAAAUAAUUACAAGGUCUUAAGCAACUUUAGUUAUUUUUUAUUAGUUUAUGUUUGAUUUUGCAGUUUAAGCUGAUAUGAUAGAGAACCAACAAUAAUGGAAGCAAAAAGGUUAAAAUUUGAAUAAAUCUGAAGACAAGUAUGGCUGACGAUAUUUGUGAUAAGUCGUCAGCCCUAUGAUAAGCUAUCAGGUUAGUCGUCAUCAGUAGACAGAGAAUUGGCCUAAAGUGGAAGUUGUGAUGAUAUUUUGUGAUAAGUCGUCAAGGGUCUGAUAAGUCCUCAGGAAUGCUAUCAGCCUUAAAUAGGAGAUGAGUUUCAGUUAGAAGAGUUGACGAUAUUUUGUAAUAGGCCGUCAGGAUGGUGAUAAGGCAUCAAGGAUACCGUCAGACGUAGACAGGACAUGAGAAUUGGAGCAGGAAUAUGAUGAUGUUCUUGAUAAACCAUCAAAAUCCUAAUAAGCCAUCGUCGUCAGUCUUAGACAGUAAGAGCCAAAAGUGAAGAAGAGCUGACGACAUCCGUGAUAAGUCGUCAGACUCCUGAUAAGCUAUCACGAAUGUCGUCAUCUAUUCCAAGGAAAAGUUAUAACCUUGAUUUUGUUUCCAUAAUUAGGGUAAACUAUUUAAAGCUUUGUUUUAGGGUUUUCUAGGGGGAUUCGAGACAUUAUUCGACACUUUGAGUUUGACAACAUACUCUGAUAUUCUCUCUCUCUCUACUCUUAGACUUUAAUAACACAACUAUUUUAAGAGAUUAUUAUCAGUAUUUUUAGGAUUUUCCUUUGUGAUCUAAUCUACUAUUCACUAGUUAUUAUUCAUCUCUGCAAGUUUAUUUAUCUUUCAAAUCAUGAAUUCAAUUAUGUGUUUUGUUCAUUGCAUCAUGAGUGGAUAAACUCCCUUAACCUGAAUUAUGGGAUCUAGGGUUAGGUCUUGAUGAGGUGCUAAGUAUUCAAGAUUCAAUAGGUGGUAGGAUCUCUUGAUAAUUCUGAAGUUUUAAUUAACGUCUGUUGGUUACAAACAGUAGACACACCUGCUUUGAUUUGCUUAAGAAAGAAAUCAAAUAUAGUAGGAAGUGAAUUAUCAAUAGGGACUCAGAAAUACUUCGUUUAAUAAUCAGUGUUGUAACAAGGUUGGUUAACCUAAGGUAAAAUCUGGGUAGUAAAUAGAAAUUCCCUAAGUCCGAGAGGAUUAGGAAGUUAAAUGCUUAAGUAGGUCGAGAGAUAUUUAAGUAUAAUAUCGAUAAAGAUAGCUUGUUAUCCUACCCACCGUGAGAAUCUUGAACCACUUUUAGCAUCUUUCAUGUACCGGAAGCCCUAGUGAACAUAAUUCUGGUUAUUUCAUAAACUCUUGAUUUACAAACACUGAAAGUAAAGUGACAAACAACAAUUUGUUAAACCUAAACCUCCCAUUUCAGGAAACAUUAAACUAUCAGUGGAUUAAAUUGCAAACAACUUAAGUUCACACCAUAUUCCCUAUGGGAUUCGACCCCAACCUAGUUGGGUUUUCUAUUGACAACGAUCGCUUACACCCAUUCAAGAGUAUAAUUUGAGCAUUAUCACUAAUGUAGUUUCUGAUGAUCUUAUCAGUUUAUCCAUAAGAAGUCUAGCUCAUGUGGAUAAGAAGAAUCGGGAGUUAGUGAAGGACAUUCACUUUUUGGCUAACCUUGGAGUUCGUCUCUUGGACUCUGAGAAUGGUAGAGUGUUCGUUCAUAAAGUGAUGUAGUCAUCUCUUGAUGCUGAGAUUAAGGAGAAAAAAAUGUUAGAUCCUGUCAUGAAGAAGAUUAAGGGUGAUUUUCGUGGGUAGAAAGUGAUGGCCUUUGAGAUUAGCGGUGAUAGUACUUUACGGUACCAAAGGAGAUUAUGUGUUUUCGACGUUGAUAGUUUGCAAGAGAGAAUCUUGGUUGAGGCACAUGAGUCGCGCUAUGUCAUUCAUCCUUGUUCGACAAAAAUAUAUCAUGACCUUAAGGAGAUAUAUUAGUGGAACAAUAUAAAGAGGGAUAUGGCAAAUUUUGUGGCCAAGUGUAUGGUUCGUCAACAAGUGAAAGUUGAGCACGUGAGGCCUGGGGGUUUGCAUCAAGAAAUUGAGUUGCCUGAGUUUAAGUGGGAAGUGAUCAACAUGGAUUUUGUUAUCGAUCUUCCUCGAUCUCGAAAUUAGUUUGAUUCAGUUUAGAUCUUCAUGGAUAAAAUGACAAAGUCUGCUCACUUCUUGCUAGUGAAGACUAACUUCUUGGCUGAGGAUUAUGCAAGGUUGUAUCUUUAUAAGAUUGUGAAGUUACAUGGGGAACAUGUUUCUAUCAUCUCUAAUUGUGGUACGCAGUUUACAUCUCACUUUUAGCGAUUAUUUCAGAAAGGUUUUGGGACCAAGGUGAGUCUUAGUACUUAUUUUCACCCGCAGUCAGAUAGGCAAGCAAAAAAGACUAUUAAGAUAUUAGAGGAUAUGCUUUAUACAUGACUGAUUGACUAUGGUGGUAGUUGGGUUGAGCAUUUACCUCUUGUGAAGUUUGCUUAUAAUAAUAGAUACCACUCUAGCAUUGGGAUAGCUCCGUUUGAGGCCUUGUAUGGUAGGAAGUGUAGAUCUCUUAUUAGGUGGUUUGAGGUUGGUGAGGCAGAGGUGUUUGGCAAGAUUUGGUUCACCAAGCCAUAGAGAAGGUGAAUGUGAUUCGAGUUAGACUUAAGGCUUCCCAAACUCGCCAAAAGUCUAAUGUAGAUAUGAGGCGAAGAGAGUUAGAGUUUGAGGUUGGGGAUAGGGUGUUCUUGAAGAUAUCUCCCAUGAAGGAAGUGAUGCAGUUUAUUAAAAAGGGGAAGCUAUGUCCCUAGUAUGCUGGUCCUUACUUGGUCUUGAUAAGGGUUGGUAAUAUUGCAUAUGAGUUGGAGUUGCCUUCUAGUUUGAGCUCCAUUCACCCGAUGUUCGUUGUUUCUAUAUUGAGGAAGUGUGUGGGUGAUCCGUCUCAAAUCGUGCCUAUCAAGGAUAUUGGUAUUUUAGAUAUUUUAUAUUAUGAGGAGAUCCCAGUUGAGAUUUUUGAUUGGUAGGUUUGUCGGUUGCGGACCAAAGAUGUAGCUUCGGUAAAAGUUAUAUGGAGGAACCACAGGGUUGAAGAAGCUACUUGGGAAACAAAAGAGGACAUGGAGUAAAAAUAUCUAUUCCUAUUUUCUGCUUUUGAAAUUCGUGUUAAAGGUAUGUGUUCUCCAUCACCUCUUUGUUUUCUAACUUAUUUAAAGGAAUGAUUGAUUUCCUUGCAUCUUUGUUUUCUAACUUGGUUAAAGGUCAGGGUAGGGGGUGUUUAGGGUUUAAAUCAUGUUAGUCAUGCCUUAUCUCAUCAUUCGAAGAUGAAUAAUACAAAUGGGGGAGAAUUUAAACACCCUAGGUUUUGAUCCUUAGAAAUUUUUUGGGUUUUGAGCUCUCUGGACAUCAUACGACUUAGGCUUACUAGUUGUAUGAUGUAGGUAUGACCUAGGGGACCCAAAUCGUAUGUUAAGAAGUGUGUUCUUGAUCAUCUACUAUCCUAGGUAUCACUAGACUUCAUACGAGUCAUAUAGAGAUGGUACGAGUGAGGCAUGCUAUUCGUAUGUUGGAUAAUGUCCAACCCCUUUUGAAUCUGUCUUGGAUAUGGUUUGAGGAUACUUGUGGUAUGAUGAAGGUACAACUUAGGUAAGGGGAUUCGUAUAAUGGACAAUGUGUGAUGUCCAAUAUUUUGUCUAGGGUACGAGUGAUGGGCACAACUCAUAUGUUGUGUGUACGAGAUUAGGAGGGAGUCGUACCCUCCUACGAUGAUUUUUAAAGUUUAAGUUGAGGGUAUUCUGGACAUUUCCCCUCUUAACCUCUUUUGACCCCAUGACUUAAAACACUUUUGGGAUAUCAUUUACCCUAUUAUUCUCUAUCAAAACACUUAAACACUCUUGGAUCUUUCUCAAGCUCUUGAGUUAAGAAUAGGCUAGGGUUUUUUUCAAGGUGGUCAAUUAAGGCUCUAAAGGGUGGUUUUCCUCCGUACUCUUUGGUAUCUAAUGCAUGUUACUCCUCCCUGAUUGUUAGUUCAACUAAAUUCAUGUUUUAAUGAAUGAUUUUCAUGAUUUAAUUAUGGGUAUUGUUUGGUUUUGAACUAUAUGUUGGGAGUUUUGGUUGUAAGUGGUUGGAUAUUCUUUUGUCAUGUUUUACUUAUGGUUUUUCAUAUUAUAAUUAUGGUUUAAACAUGUGGCUGCAUCAGAAUGGUCAAUUGGUACUUGGUUUUUGUUUUGGAAACUAUAUGCCCUCAACAUUUUUGUUAAAAUGCCGAUAAGAAUGGUUUUUCACAUAGUUUGACUUUUAUCGAAACUAUUGCAUUGCAUAAUAUGGUAAUGAAACUUAAAUUUGUUUAAAUUAUUUUAAAUGAUUUUGUAAGGCCUUAGUAGCCAUGGUUUUGGUAAAUUGAAAAUCAUGUGGGGUACAUGGGAAACCCAUAAGUGUUAGCUAAUGACAUUGCUUGCAAGCUAUAGUCGGUAUGACGAUACCACUACAUAAUGCCUUGAUAAUAACACAUGGAAUUGGUGGUUUUGUUGUGUGCUAAUGGUUUUAAUCGAGCAAUAAUGUCGGAUUGUGAUAGUUUAUCAUGAAGGUGAGAGUCCAAAGGACAAACACUAAAAACUCAUGUUUGCCAACAUAAGGGUUGGUCAUGGUUACCUUAUACUUGUAGGGUACACGGGAAUCCCCUAAGUUUAUACUUGUACAUAUGUAUCAUGGAGGGCGGAGGGUACACGGGAAUCCUCGGCCCCUGUGAUAUCUCCGAUUUGUGCGUCUAUACGGAUCGGGGCCCGUUUAAGGGAUAACACUGGAACCAUAUAUCCCUAGGGUGGAUUACGAUGGUAAAGUUACAGAAACCCUAGUUAAAGGUUUUAAAUGCAUUCUAAACCCGACUCCCUUUCCCGACAUGGAUUAUCUAUAUAUAUAUAUAUAUAUAUAUAAAUAGAGAGAGAGGUGACUGCAUAUGGUUAUUUACUUGGUUUUAAAUGUUGGCAUUAUUUUAUCGUUACUCCUGAGUACAUGCUAGCGUUCAUCCGCUAACCCGUCUUCGGGCAUUGUAUCACCAUGCGAUGCAGGAACCGACCAUACUACUUCUCCUGCUCAGUGAUUGGAUUCGGGGAAAGAUUUGUGUCGGAUUGAAGUGGUGAUAUACUCCGGAAGGCUCUAUUUCAUGUUAUGGACUUCUCUACAUACUUUCAUUAUUUCUUAGACUUUAGUUUUUGGCUAUGGUCAGGGGCAUAUCCCGACUAGAUGUUGUUUUGAUUUCGAAUAGAGGCUUUGUGAGACUACUUUAGGUUGACAUGGGCGGUGUCAGUAUUGGUGUCAUCCUUGACAUUGGUAUAUAUUGGUAUUGGGGUUGACACCAUUUGACAGUAUUUGAUUUAUGAUUGUUCCAUUUUGUUAUGUUAUAUAAUCGGAAUUCAUCCGAUAUCAGGUGUAGGGUGAUUAUGAUUGGGCAUUGAGGGUGGUCUCCGAUCCCGAUUGGGCUUGAGGCACCCGACACGACUAAGCCCUGGUUCGGGUCGUAUCAAUACCCAUUACUCCAUGUAUACUUUCUGUCUAAAAUAUUCAACUCAAUUAGGCCGGUAGCUUACAAAAUCUAUCUAAAGUCCUUUAUCUCUGCCUCUUACACAGUAGUAUCAUUAAUCCUGUCAUCUACCUCAGAAAUAGCAUUAAAGUCACCUAUCAAUAACCAGGGCUCUUGAAUUGUAUUGUAGCAUCUUGUGAGAUCACUCCAAAGUAAUUUACUUCUUCUAUAUUAUGAAAACCAUUAACAGUUGACAAAUAAAAUUACAGCAUUGUAUGUCACUAAGUCAUGGGUGAAUUGCUCAUGCACUUGUAAUACACUCACCUUCAGCUUAGUAGGAUCCCAUAGAAACCAAAUUCUCCCUUUCGUAAGUGUUGUAGUUAGCUUCCCAAUUCCAGUUUCUUGCAACCUUCUUCAUAAUUUUAUUAGAUCUUUCAUUUACUCUAUGUUCUAUAAUGGCUAUAAUACAACACUGUUAUCUCUAAGGAACGUACUCAUAUCCUCUAUGCUUAUAGAGCUUAUUAAAGCCCCUCACAUUCUAUGUAACCAACAUAAUUGAGUUAACAAAGGUUGAGGGAGCCUUCCAUUACCAAUUCUACUUCCAAUCAUAUGAAGCAGAUGCUGAGAGACGAGAUCAACUUCAAUACCAUCUUCCAAUACUUGAAACCCAUUUCCAGUGCUAGUGGAAGCAUUACUGGUGGAAGCAAUAGUCAUUUGCCUUCACUGAAUUUAGCUAACUGGCAAGCAUUUGUCCGGGUUGAUUCUUUCCCCACCUCCCNN
rnacentral:lncRNA from 1 species